UAAAUAUUAUUAUUAAUAACAACAACAACAACAACAACAACGUUACUAUUGAUAAUAAUCAAACCAUCACCAAUGUCAUUAUUAUUGUUAUUAUUAUUAUUAUUAUUUUUUACAUACAUACGUAUUAAAACGCUGACAUCUUCAAUAAAUAAUUAAAGUAUAAUUUAAGCAAAGUAAAAAAAUAAUAAAUAAAUAAUGGUAAACAAUACCACAUUUGGCUGGUCACAUUGUUUUAUUUGUAUGUUUUAAUGAUACCAAAGAAAUAACCAACACUAACUAAUUAACAGGUCCUUCAUUUUGUAGUCUGUAAACCGAUGUAACACAACUGUGUGUGCCUGUGUUUAAAAAUACAGCACACCGUUCUGUGUAUUAGUGCGCAACCUCUUUUAAAACACGUCUCACAAAGUCUUAUCUAUAAAAACAAAGAAAAAAAUCACAAACAAAAGCAAGAAAAACCCACUUGCUCUCCAGAAAAGAAAACCCUCAUCAUUCCUCAGUAUUCCUCUCUCUCCAGCAGGUGGCAGCCAGCGACCGUCUACCACCACGAAUCAGCUGUGGGAGCCUGUUUCACUGUGACACCAGCCCUGUUUCACUGUGACACCAGCCCUGUGUUACUGUGUUGUGUCUAUGGACAGAUUAACAGUGUAACCCUCGGGGCUGGAUCCAGUGACAGCGUCCUCGUCCUGCAGACAUUCAGUACCAGGUGCAGCUCCGGAACUCAGUAUGACACACUGACCCUUCAGCAGUUGAGCAACUGGUCUCAAGCCCAGCAGCCACAGAGAAACAGUGUCAGGCUGCAUCGUCUGAGCCUUGUGUUGAAUGCAUGUAUUUAUAAGUGGAUAAACAAUACGUGCAUGAAUGAAUGAAGGAUGAUACAGUUGUUCGUGUCAGGGCUGUGAGAAAAUGAGAAGGAAAACUAUAAUAAUUUGUUUGUUUGAACUGGGAUUUCUGUUUAUUUUAUGAUUAUUAAACAUCUAUUGUUAUUGUACAACAGAUGAAAUAUUAUUUGAAUCAAAUGAUUAGAAGAGUCUUAGACUGUAUCUAGAAAUUAAUGUUUUCUGCCCGUCACAUGAGGUUUGUAAUGCUUUUAUACUCCACACUUACACCACCUCAUGCUUUACAGAAUAUCUCAUAAUUCAUUAUUAAUUCAUCACAAGAAGUGGGAGCACUGUUGUGAUGGCAAAUAUAUCUUUAGCAACUAUUAUUUACUUGUCAUAUCGCCCUGAAAUUAACAAUCAAUAAUGCAGUUGCAAUUGUUUGUGUUUCUAUGAGUGAACCUCAUCUUGUAGCCUCAGUAUUCAGGGUUUAGACGGAGCCACAUGGAAGGAGCAGCUGCAAGCUUUCUGAUGAAUGACUCUGUGAAGACUGCUGGGAGGAUCCAUCACUGUGUGCCUCUUUUCAUGGAUUAUCAAAAGGCAUUCAAAUUCUUACCAGAAUAUCUAACUAAGCAAAUGAUUAUCUGUUGGUCAGGAUGAUUUUGCAUGGCCUUGAAGUACUGAGGUUAUAUUUGGUGUGCUAAUAAAUAAAACUAUUUAAUCUUAA